ACUAUGCAACUAUGCAACUAUGCAACUGUGCAACUAUGCAACUAUGCAACUGUACAACUAUGCAACUGUACAAUUAUGCAACUGUUCAGCUGUACAAAUAUGCAACUGUUCAGCUGUACAAAUAUGCAACUAUUCAGCUGUACAAUUAUAUAUAUGUAUAUACAACUAUAUGUGUGUGUUUAUAUAAAUAUUUGCAUAUAUGACACUAACCAUUAUGUUCUUAUUCUUUUGUGUAGCGAAGCGAACUGUGUAUAUACCUACCACUCUAUAUUUUUUAUUUAUUUAUUUUUUUAUUAUUUUUUUUUUUUUUAGCGGACACAUCUUGAACGACAAAGACGAUGAAAAGUGUAUUUGUAUAAAAUUGGUUGACGGUGGGAGUAAGACAGAACUGAUGAAAAGUAAAAGUGGUUUAGGAAAUAUAAAAAAAAACGAGUGCAAUAGUGUAAGAUUUGAAAUAAAUCAUGCUGAUGUAAAAGGUAGUGACAUAAAAAAAAUGCGUUCAUGUAAUUCUUCACCAAUAAAUAUAAAACUAAAUAACAGCGAUACUCAAUUUUUGAAUUUUCGAAGUAAAAUUUAUGAAAAUAAAAGUUUAGAAAUAAAUUUUAUUAACAAUACAGGUAAAAAAGUAGAAGUAAGUUCAAAUAUUGCUCAUGUGUAUGUAAAAGAUUUAAAAAAGAAAAAAAAUGCGACAUCUAUAGAUGAUUUUGAAGAAGAUAUAAUUAACAACUUAAAUCGAUAUAAUAAUAAUAAUAAUACAAUUGUUGAUAGUAAUAAUAAUGGUGAUAGGACACAGGUAUAUAACCAAUGUAUAGCUUGUUCUUCAAUGAAUAAUAAUUUAAUCAAUUUUUUAAACAAAACAGGAAAUUAUUUUAAUUGUUUUUUUACUGACGAAAUAAAAUAUUUUAUUAGUAAUGAAAAUGAGUUAAAGAAAUUAAAAUUUCAUUUUUGUCCUUUUUUUGAAGGUAACUAUUUUUGUUUUUUACUUUUUUGUGUUAAAGAUAUAAAAAAUAACUAUUUAAUAUCUACAAGUAAAAUAAAUUGUUUAUUUUUUAUUAAUAAUAUUAAAGAAGAUGAAUUGAUUAAACUGAGUUCUAAAACUUUUAGUUUUACAUGUAAUAUACAAUUAUGUCCUAUAAAUAAAACUUUUUUAAAAAGUGUACAUUUUAUUUUAUGUAACUUAAAUAAAUUAGAUAUAAACUUUUUUUUAAUAUAUUUAAAAAGCUAUUUAGAAUAUAUAAACGAAAAUAAGAAUAAUUUUUGUAUGAUGUCUGAUAGCAGUAGUAUAAGUAUGGAAGAUAAUAAAAUGGUUUCUUUUGUGGGUUUUGAUUUUGAUAAGUAUAUUAAGAAUGUGUUGUUUAAUCCUACCACUGUUCUUACUACUGCUCUUACUACUGCUCCUACUACUGUUCUUACUACUGCUCCUACCACUGCUCUUACUACUACUC
rnacentral:lncRNA from 1 species